ACCUAUCCUACAUGGAUAACAGUGGUAAUUCUAGAGCUAAUACAUGCUGAAAAUCCCGACUUCGGAAGGGACGUAUUUAUUAGAAUCAGAACCAAUGCCCUUCUGGGUUUCUUGGUGAAUCAUGAUAACUCCACAGAUCGCAUGGCCUUGCGCCGGCGAUGGCUCAUUCAAAUUUCUUCCCUAUCAACUUUCGACGGUACGGUCUUGGCCUACCGUGGUUGCAACGGGUGACGGAGGGUUAGGGCUCGACCCCGGAGAAGGAGCCUGAGAAACGGCUACUACAUCCAAGGAAGGCAGCAGGCGCGCAAAUUAUCCAAUCCCGACUCGGGGAGAUAGUGACAAUAAAUACCGAUACAGGGCUCUUUUGGGCCCUGUAAUUGGAAUGAGUACAAUUCAAACCUCUUAACGAGGAACAAUUGGAGGGCAAGUCUGGUGCCAGCAGCCGCGGUAAUUCCAGCUCCAAUAGCGUAUAUUAAAGUUGUUGUGGUUAAAAAGCUCGUAGUCGAACCUCGAGCCUGGCCGGCCGGUCCGCCUCACCGCGUGCACUGGUCUGGCCGGGCUCUUCCCUCUGCGGAACCGCAUGCCCUUCACUGGGCGUGUCGGGGAGGCAGGACUUUUACUUUGAAAAAAUUAGAGUGCUCAAGGCAGGCCAAUGCUCGAAUACAUUAGCAUGGAAUAAUAGAAUAGGACGUUGGUUCUAUUUUGUUGGUUUCUAGGACCGCCGUAAUGAUCAAUAGGGACGGUCGGGGGCAUCAGUAUUCAGCCGUCAGAGGUGAAAUUCUUGGACCGGCUGAAGACUAACUACUGCGAAAGCAUUUGCCAAGGACGUUUUCGCUGAUCAGGAACGAAAGUUAGGGGAUCGAAGACGAUCAGAUACCGUCGUAGUCUUAACCAUAAACUAUGCCGACUAGGGAUCGGGCGGCGUUCUUUCUAGACCCGCUCGGCACCUU
rnacentral:rRNA from 1 species